AGCUUUGCACAGUGGCAGUAUUGUAGCCAAUCAGGUUUAUCCGAGGCGCGAUUAUUGCUAAUUGAAAACUUUUCCCAAAAAAUAUACUUCAAAAAAUGUUUUGCAGCUUUCUGGAAAG
rnacentral:snRNA from 1 species